GCCCAAGGACAUCAUCAGAGGACAUUGGUAGCUUUGCAGUAACCUGCCUUGGUUGCUUACAUGUUCCCUGACCUACAUGUUUGCAAAUCCACAUAAUGUUUCUUGGUCAUGCAGGUUCCUAUAAAUGAUGUCUGUUCGCAGAAGACUGAAGCCCCAGUUUCAACUAGCUUUUACAAGAAUUGAGGGGAUUGGAGCAGCAAAUGGUGAUGGACUUGUGGAAAGGAAAACUAAACCAAGUUCUGGACUUUCUGCUACUGAAUUCGAACCAACAGCAGUUGAAGUGUUAGAGAGAGAAGAUAUUAAGGAGUGGAAGCUGGUGGAGAAUCUGCUGAUUAGGCCCAAGAUGUGGUGAAUGAAAAGCUGAAUCUUUUCAUAUUGGAUUUUCUGAAGAGGCUAGCCUCAGCAGAGAUUUUCCCAGAUUCCUCAACUUUGCCGAGGCUUAAGGACUAACUCUCCCUGCCUGGGUUGAGCCAGGGGCUGGGAGAAAUUACUUAGAGCUUGGGCUAGAUAUCUUACCCUAUCCUCUCUCUGAAUUUCUAACUUCAC
ensembl:lncRNA